rnacentral:rRNA from 1 species
AGCACCUACGGGUGUGAAGUCAUUGAUGCCAUGCUUCCAGGAAAAGCCUCUAAGCUUCAGAUUGUAAGGAAUCGUACCCCAAACCGACACAGGUGGUCGGGUAGAGAAUACCAAGGCGCUUGAGAGAACUCGGGUGAAGGAACUAGGCAAAAUGGUACCGUAACUUCGGGAGAAGGUACGCUCCUGUCGGUGAAGUCCCUUGCGGAUGGAGCUAACGGGAGUCGCAGAUACCAGGUGGCUGCAACUGUUUAUUAAAAACACAGCACUGUGCAAAAUCGUAAGAUGACGUAUACGGUGUGACGCCUGCCCGGUGCCGGAAGGUUAAUUGAUGGGGUUAGACGUAAGUCGAAGCUCUUGAUCGAAGCCCCGGUAAACGGCGGCCGUAACUAUAACGGUCCUAAGGUAGCGAAAUUCCUUGUCGGGUAAGUUCCGACCUGCACGAAUGGCGUAAUGAUGGCCACGCUGUCUCCACCCGAGACUCAGUGAAAUUGAAAUCGCUGUGAAGAUGCAGUGUACCCGCGGCUAGACGGAAAGACCCCGUGAACCUUUACUACAGCUUGGCACUGAACAUUGACCCUACAUGUGUAGGAUAGGUGGGAGCUUUGAAACCGGUACGCCAGUAUCGGUGGAGCCGUCCUUGAAAUACCACCCUUGUAGUGUUGAUGUUCUAACUUAGACCCGUUAUCCGGGUUGAGGACAGUGCCUGGUGGGUAGUUUGACUGGGGCGGUCUCCUCCCAAAGAGUAACGGAGGAGCACGAAGGUGGGCUAAUCACGGUUGGACAUCGUGAGGUUAGUGCAAUGGCAUAAGCCCGCUUGACUGCGAGAAUGACAAUUCGAGCAGGUGCGAAAGCAGGUCAUAGUGAUCCGGUGGUUCUGUAUGGAAGGGCCAUCGCUCAACGGAUAAAAGGUACUCCGGGGAUAACAGGCUGAUACCGCCCAAGAGUUCAUAUCGACGGCGGUGUUUGGCACCUCGAUGUCGGCUCAUCACAUCCUGGGGCUGAAGUCGGUCCCAAGGGUAUGGCUGUUCGCCAUUUAAAGUGGUACGCGAGCUGGGUUUAGAACGUCGUGAGACAGUUCGGUCCCUAUCUGCCGUGGGCGUUGGAAGAUUGAAGGGGGCUGCUCCUAGUACGAGAGGACCGGAGUGGACGAACCUCUGGUGUUCGGGUUGUCAUGCCAAUGGCAUUGCCCGGUAGCUAAGUUCGGAAUCGAUAACCGCUGAAAGCAUCUAAGCGGGAAGCGAGCCCUGAGA